GUUUGUCAAUGCAGUAAGUGGGAAGUCAAACGGCUUGCGUGACCUAGGCUAGUACAGUCAUGGAUGUCCGGUACCAGCAUUGACGAGUACAGUCUGGGAUGUUAGCUGACAGACCCCACUCGGUUUUUCGGGCCGGCCGGACCGGGUCACCUCAGUUGGUAAAAUGGGUAGCGAGAAAAAUACACAUUUUUCUGUGAUUACAACUGAUAUAUGUUGCACAACAAUGAAACUAGACAUAAUUUAGAUAAAUAUUGUGACAAUUUAUCACCAAAAUGCUGCAGUA